CUUCAAGUGUCAAGAGGGAGUUAAUCAAGGGGUUGCUGAUCAUCCAUUGACGUCUUAAGCAUGCGGAGUUUCUGUUCUCGAUCGAGGGUAAUCCCCAGACCUAGACGGAUCGGAGCGGUAGAGGACUCGGCGGUGACCACGAUUUUGGACUUUCAUGGUUUUAAUCUGAGUAUUGGUUUUAUUUAUUUAUUUAUUUUAUUUUUAUUUUAUUUGGUUGUAAUUUGGACUUACGAACUUUUAGAUUUGUUUUGGUUUUUAUUUUCCUUA